rnacentral:rRNA from 1 species
UAAUACGUAGGGUCCUAGCGUUGUCCGGAUUUAUUGGGCGUAAAGAGCUCGUAGGCGGUUCGGCAAGUCGGAUGUGAAAUCUCCACGCUUAACGUGGAGGGGCCAUUCGAAACUGCCGUGACUCGAGUCCGGUAGGGGAGUGUGGAAUUCCCGGUGUAGCGGUGAAAUGCGCAGAUAUCGGGA